CGAACGCUGGCGGCAGGCCUAAUACAUGCAAGUCGAACGGCUCUUCGGAGCAGUGGCGGACGGGUGAGUAACGCGUGGGAAUGUGCCCUUAGGUACGGAACAACACAGGGAAACUUGUGCUAAUACCGUAUGUGCCCUUCGGGGGAAAGAUUUAUCGCCUUUGGAGCAGCCCGCGUUGGAUUAGGUAGUUGGUGAGGUAAAGGCUCACCAAGCCGACGAUCCAUAGCUGGUCUGAGAGGAUGACCAGCCACACUGGGACUGAGACACGGCCCAGACUCCUACGGGAGGCAGCAGUAGGGAAUCUUGCGCCAUGGGCGAAAGCCUGACGCAGCCAUGCCGCAUGUAUGAUGAAGGUCUUAGGAUUGUAAAAUACUUUCACCGGGGAAGAUAAUGACGGUACCCGGAGAAGAAGCCCCGGCUAACUUCGUGCCAGCCGCCGCUGUAA
rnacentral:rRNA from 1 species